AGUCGGGCCCGGAGCCCGGAAGGAGUGCCCCGCGGAGAGUCGAGCUUCCUUCCCCGGGGCUGGGGGUUCCGCGGAGCUCGCUCUGGGCUGUGGCGUUGCUCGCCCGCGAGCUCCUGGGGAGUUCGGGGGAGCUGCUGGGCUGGUGCCUGGAGCGGGGGCCGCCUCCAAGUAUUGUCUUUCGAAUUAAGUUACUGUCGUCUGUGUUGUCAGGCAACAACUGACCUUAAAUAAAAAUGAAAACCAGAAGUAGGCUACACAUGCAAUAGGCUACACAUGCAAUAAUGGAUACUUAAGGAAUGGGAGUGGCUGCUGGUGACUGGAGCAGAGAGGGUGUGGUUUCCCCAUGUUUCGGGGCCGGGGGGAAGGAGUAAAGUCUGUGUUCAGAGCCCAGACGCCAUGUCGGUCAUCACAUCACCGGGAGAACUCGUGGAGCCUGAGGAAAGGCUACGGGGUGCCAGAGUCUGAAGGGGCGGAAGAUUGCAUUCCUAUCACGUUCGCCGUGGCGCACAGGGGCUCCGCUGGGGCCGCCGCUCCCGCAGGAGAAGUGGGCCUGAGACGGUGCGGCGUCGACCAUAGCCGGCCCAGCAGAAGCCGGGGAAGGCCACAAGUGUAACUGGGUCCGAGUACUGUGAAGAAGGCGCCUCCCAUGGAGAAAGCUACCGGGUAGUUUAACAAGGUGGAAAAGCGUUGGCCUGGGGAGGAGGAAAGGAUGCUCAGAAAGUUGCCUCAAAAGGACGCAGAAGUGGAGGUGAAUCUUCUGUUUCAGAGGCAUUUUUUUGUGCCUCUGUGAGAAUGCAUUGCUUCCUGGUUGAUCCAUCUUCAGGUUUUCUCUCCGUCCUAGUCCCUGUUCUGCCACCAUUCUGUGUUUGAAUCUGGUACCUAAAGCCGCAGAUACUUGGUUCAUAGUAGAUGUCCACUCUGCAGUGGCUGAAAACACGGAAGAAAAACCAUCUUUGCCUGGGAAGGACAUUAUUGCUAGUGCCAUUACUGUCAACAGUUGGAACAAGAUAAACGGCAUGCCCAAUCUAGUUGAGGAUUUUGGACACCGGGCCUCCCACUGGGACUCCGCCGAGAAACCAGGUCUGCCAUUGCCACCUCCGCCGGGCCUUGCUGUCUUAGCACAGUAAGUGCACCCGACCGCGCCCGGAGUCCCCCUUUCACUCCCACAACCAGGCCUGUGGUGAGGCUCCCGCUUGUCAUCUCCACCAGGAGGUGCUGUCCUGCCGAAAUGUUGGGGUUUUUCUCCAAACUUCCUCCUGUUCAGAAUUCGCCAUCUCAGUAGUGGCAUGGACAUCCACCUGGCCACAGCUCACGCAGAAACCUAGGAAUUUUUGUGAACACGUUUGUGUGUCUUACUAAUGUGUCCACUCUCCACUACCACUGUUUCCCAGGCCACUAGUAUCUUUUGGCCCUCUAAUGUAUUGCUAACAAAAGUACAAAAUUAUGCAACUCCUAUCAAAUAUGCUUCAAAAUUAUAAGUGUAUUUACUCUUUAAGCUAGCAGUCCUACUUCUGGAAACUAAUCCUACACAUACACCUGCACACAUAUUGUCUUAGUCUGUUUUGUGCUGCUAUAACAGAAUAUCUGAGACUGGGUAGUUUACAAAGAACAGAUACUUACUUUCUCACUCUGAGAAAUCUGAGAUCAAGGAGCUGGCAUUUGGUGUCUGGUGUGGGCCUUCCUGCUGCAUCUUCACAUGGCAGAAGGCAGAAGGGCAAGAAAGCAAGCUAGCUGAAUGCUGCGUGAAGCCUCUUAUAAGGGCCUUAAUCCUAUUAGUGAUGGAGGAGCCUUCAUGGCCUAUUUGGCAACACCUGAAUUUUAGAGGAUACACAUAUGAAAUGAUAACACAUGUGAAAUGAUAUGUAUGUAAGGGUAUUUUUUGCAGCAUAGUUUGCAAUAGCAAAAGACUAGAAAAAAUUGAUAUAUUUGUUUACUUGGAGAGUAAGGAGACUGUUAAAUGUGCCAUGGUAAUACCUUCAUAAUGAUCUCCAGCUUUACUAAAUGAAAAAAACAAUUGACAGAAUAUGAUUCAUAGUGUGCUGCCUCUCUAGUGCAAGAAAACAGGAAAAGACCAUAUAUUGCUUAUAUCUGCUUGAAGAAAUGCUACAUCGAAAUAGAUGUAUAGGAAAUAAAAGGGGUUACCUGGUGGAGGGGAGGAACCAAGUGAUUGGGAUGAGGGGAGGAGGACUUCUCCAUCUCUACUUUUUUAUGUUGUUUUGUAUACCUAUUUUUAAAACAGAUUGAAAAAUUAAGAAAAAUGUGUACUUUGUUCUAGAGUGAUGAUGGUUGUACAACUGUGAAUAUUGUAACAAAUCACUGAAUGGUACACUUUAAAGGGUGAUUUUAUGGUAUUUGAAUUAUAUUUCAAUAAAAUAAUUAUUUUAAAAAUGUUUGGUGAGGGGCUGGUAGCAUCAGCAGCAUCUGAGAAAUUGUCAGAAAUGCAAAUUCUUGGACUCCAUACU
rnacentral:lncRNA from 1 species